GAUGAACGCUAGCGGCAGGCCUAAUACAUGCAAGUCGAACGGGAUCCAGAUCAAAGCUUGCUUUGGUUUGGUGAGAGUGGCGUACGGGUGCGUAACGCGUGAGCAACCUACCCUUAUCAGGGGGAUAGCCCGGCGAAAGUCGGAUUAAUACCGCAUGACAUCAUUGAGAGGCAUCUUUCGAUGAUCAAAGAUUUAUCGGACAAGGAUGGGCUCGCGUGACAUUAGCUAGUUGGUAAGGUAACGGCUUACCAAGGCUACGAUGUCUAGGGGCUCUGAGAGGAGAAUCCCCCACACUGGUACUGAGACACGGACCAGACUCCUACGGGAGGCAGCAGUAAGGAAUAUUGGUCAAUGGACGGAAGUCUGAACCAGCCAUGCCGCGUGCAGGAAGACGGCCCUAUGGGUUGUAAACUGCUUUUAUACGGGAACAAACGUCGGUACGUGUACCGGUCUGAGUGUACCGUAAGAAUAAGGAUCGGCUAACUCCGU
rnacentral:rRNA from 1 species